rnacentral:rRNA from 1 species
UAUUGGGCGUAAGCGCGCGCAGGUGGUUCUUUAAGUCUGAUGUGAAAGCCCACGGCUCAACCGUGGAGGGUCAUUGGAAACUGGGGAACUUGAGUGCAGAAGAGGAAAGUGGAAUUCCACGUGUAGCGGUGAAAUGCGUAGAGAUGUGGAGGAACACCAGUGGCGAAGGCGACUUUCUGGUCUGUAACUGACACUGAGGCGCGAAAGCGUGGGGAGCGAACAGGAUUAGAUACCCUGGUAGUCCACGCCGUAAACGAUGAGUGCUAGGUGUUAGAGGGUUUCCGCCCUUUAGUGCUGCAGCUAACGCAUUAAGCACUCCGCCUGGGGAGUACGGCCGCAAGGCUGAAACUCAAAGGAAUUGACGGGGGCCCGCACAAGCGGUGGAGCAUGUGGUUUAAUUCGAAGCAACGCGAAGAACCUUACCAGGUCUUGACAUCCUCUGACAACCCUAGAGAUAGGGCCUUCCCCUUUUGGGGGACAGAGUGACAGGUGGUGCAUGGUUGUCGUCAGCUCGUGUCGUGAGAUGUUGGGUUAAGUCCCGCAACGAGCGCAACCCUUGAUCUUAGUUGCCAGCAUUCAGUUGGGCACUCUAAGGUGACUGCCGGUGACAAACCGGANGAAGGUGGGGAUGACGUCAAAUCAUCAUGCCCCUUAUGACCUGGGCUACACACGUGCUACAAUGGAUGGUACAAAGAGCCCGCAAACCCGCGAGGGUAAGCCAAUCUCAUAAAGCCAUUCUCAGUUCGNAUUGC